rnacentral:rRNA from 1 species
UGCGGAAGGAUCAUUAUCGAGAUAGGUAGGGUCUGUUUAGGCUCGACCUCUUCAUCCUUGUAUAUGCUACCGUGUUGCUUUGGCGGGCCUGCUCUCUAGGGCUGCCGAGGGUUUAAUCGCCUCUUGGCCAGUGCCCGCCAGUAGCCUUUUUAAAAUUCUUGAUACCUAUGCUGUCUCAGUGUUUUAACUAAAUUGAUAAAAACUUUCAACAACGGAUCUCUUGGUUCUGGCAUCGAUGAAGAACGCAGCGAAAUGCGAUAAGUAAUGCGAAUUGCAGAAUUCAGUGAGUCAUCGAAUCUUUGAACGCAUAUUGCGCCCUUUGGUAUUCCGAAGGGCAUGCCUGUUCGAGCGUCAUUAUCACCUAUCAAGCUAGGCUUGUUAUUAGACUUUUUGGUUUCACGACCGGUCUGAAAGAUAGUAGACAGGACCUGAUAGCCCUGGAUAUAACAAGCUUUUGAAAGCACAUAUCUGUCGGCCAGCGGGCCCCUGUCUUUAAGCCCCCAUUUUCUCAGGUUGACCUCGGAUCAGGUAGGAAUACCCGCUGAACUUAA